AGGGACAGAUAAAGGAAAGGGAUAAAAUUGGGUUCCCAUUUGAGGGUCCAAGAUUACCAAAUGGUCAUAGGGCCAAUAAUUUUUUGUAUCUCUUAAUCGAGAGACCAUCUAAGAAGCUCAUAUACUGAUGAUCUAGCCAGACUGUCUUUGAAGAUAUUUAAACAAAAAUAAGGAAACUAUAAAGAAACAAUGCCACUCGAUAUUAAAUAUAAACACUUCAAAUGGUGACAAAUAACUCUAAUAGUGCUGUACCAACUUUGUUUUAUACCCUAAUAAACUAAGCUACCUAAGUAUUUAUUGCUGUUCAUAGCAUUACCCCUACAAUUCCUCAAAUGCUCUCUGUGAUUAUGGGCAUUAUUCUUUUUUUCAGUGCAACUGGCUUGUCUGUUUUUCAGCGUCAGAAGUUUGUAAUAGAAUUUAAAAGUUGAGCCAAUUGAAUUAUAUUCAAUUUGACAAGUUAAUAAGCUGGCCAAACCACAAUUUCUACCACACACUAUAUGCAUAAUUCUCUUUCUCAAUAAAACUUCAGUUUUGAUUUCCAUAACUCCCACGCUUGCUGCUUAUUCUAUAGGCUGAUAAUAUAGGUAAGCAGGCUAAUGUUCCCCUGUUCAGAAUAAAAUAAAAGUAUUGCAAGAACAUUAAUAGAAAGCAAGGCUUCUUUGUUUGUGCAAAAGUAGUUCUUUUAAAUUACAAAUGUUAAAGUGUAUUUUAGUACUUUAAUUUAGCACCUUCAAACCAGAGAAAUUUUUCUUACCGGAUGCACAAAACAGCCUGAAUAACUUACCAGUCAUUCAGGCUGUGAUAUUAACGCAGCUCUUCUCUGUUACAAAAGGAGAAAACCCUGCCCCCACCUUUCUUUUCCCUUUCCUAAACUUGAGUUAUCAUCCCAGAACUUAUUUAUUCCUGCUCUGGAAGUCAGUGGAGUCUAAAAUGGGAGCAGCAGUAAGAGCUGGUGGGGAUAGUUUCUGGGUUUACAUCCUUGCCAUUAGAAAAUGGAAUAGCAGCACUUGUAAAAGAACCAGUGGUGUCUUAGUUGGUCAUCACUUAUUUAGUUCUUCUCUUAUAAAAGAUCUGUCUCCUCAACAGCUGUCACUCUAUGUCUUAACAUUUAAAAAUCAGGAAACUUCAUUGAGUAUUUCAAAAUGUUCCAUAGGAGAAAUUCCUGGACCCUCUUGUUUUUAUAUUAAUAUUGAUACACCAUUCUGAAAAAGUCUAAAUCACAGUAUUUAGAGAAAUGGAUUGGAGAGCAUGGAUGUGUCCCUAUCCAGCUACAUACACAUGCUGUGGGGCUAGCUAUGGGCCUGCCCAGGAAUAUGAAUUCGUUUCAGAUACAUUUCUUCAUGACCUCAUUCUCUUCCAUUGUGCAGCAUUCUGUUACCACACAAUGAUGUGUAAUGCAAAUAGGUGACUUUCCCUUCCUAUUUUGAGUUACUUUAACCACUGCAUUUUACGUAGAGAUUUUGUUAUAGUUUCAGCUAUGUGCUGCUGUGCUUUUCUAGCUUUACCAGUCCCUUCUCUACUUUUUAUUUGAAGAGUCCAAUUCUGAUCUGGAUCUGCAGCCCAAAUCCUCUCCUGCCCCCCCCCCCCCGUUAUUCAAAACCCAGGCGUCACUUGCCUGUGUGACUAAAAAAGUUUCCAUGCCAUGGAGCCAUUAUAAUGGCUUUUUUACUAACUGAUGUAAUUUGGGGCAUCCUGCUUACUAUACACAUCCAACAGAGACAUUAUGACCUUCUCACCUUUCUUGGCAGAAACCAAAUCAUCUAAUAUCUGUAAGUUGAAUUGUGGCUAGGUUUAUUCUAUGUGCCAUGAUUAAAGCGCAUCACAAUGGCAGGCAAAUGUGGUGCAGUUGUCUUCCUACAUAUUACUCCUGCAGGAAUUCUGCGCCAAAAAAUUAAAAAUUCUGGCAUUUUAAAAUUCUGCAAAUUUUAUUUGUCAAAAUAACACUACAUAAUCACACCAGUUUCAAUUAUUUUGGUAAUUUAUUUCAAAGUACCUGUCAGCAAGUAUAUCUAUAAUGAUACAGAAACACAAAAAUUCCCCUAUCAGUAGAGAGUUAAAGAAACUCCUACAACAACGCAUUUCCUGCUUCUCUGCCCUCUCUCCUCUAGAGCCCAGCCAGGGCUCCCCCCCCCCCCCGCACCAAUACACCUCAACCCCUUCCCCCCAGAUACCUGCACCACCUUCCCACCCAGAGUUCAGCCACAGAGUCCCUCCACCCAGAAACAACUCCUCCCCCCUGAGCCCAGCUGCAGGAACCCCCAGCCAGACUCACACCCCCUGAGCCCAGGGAUCCAGCAGGAGAAACAGCCUGAUGCUCAGUCCCAGACUUGCACAGAGUUUCCUGUGCACCACUCUCUCCUUCCCUCAGGGCAUGCGGGGAACUGCCGCUGCCGGGAACCCUUUAGCUCCCUCUCUCCCCCCUGGCAGUAUCUUCUAUGGGCAAGCUGGGCUCUGCUGGGUCCAGCAGCCCCUAGUGGUGGCCUGCAGCACUGCAGCCUAUUUCUGUGGGGUAAGGAAAUUUUCAAUUUCUGCAAAAUUCUGCACUGCACAGUGGCACAGAAUUCCCCAUGUAACAUAUGCAGCGAUCUGACUUGUCUACAUGUCUGUUAAAACAACUCAGAGUCAAGAAGGGUCUAGCCAGAACAGCACAAGGCAAGUAACUUUGGGGAAAAAAGAAGACCGCAUCCUUUGGAAAAGCAUGGGUAUGAUUUUGAUCUGUUCCCAGGACAGCCUAACUGGAUGUUUUGGAAACAGUUGAAAAGCAGAUUCUGUGUCUGCUUUUACAGACUGAGCUCUUUCCACAACCCUUACUCAUUUAUAUUGCUUGGUUGAGAGGAGCUCAUACCACUAACAGCAGCAAAUGAUCUACAUAAUCAUUAACUGGUUCACCAUCUGAAUAAAAUGUUAUGUAAACUAAAUCCCAGGUGGAGACUCCUUCAAGACCACACCCAUACAGGAAAUCUUCAUUCACUUGACUGGAAUUUUAAAUAAACCUGCUGCAUUCCCUAAUGCUAAUUUUCUCCACGUGCUCUAGGCAUCAUAACCGCAGAUUUCAAUUCUUCUGCCAUAUGCAUCUUUUUCUUUUAAGUAUCCAUGUAGAGUAGUACAAAGCCAUCCACAAAUGGUGUACCAAAAAUUCUUCUCUUCACACAUUUGAGAAAGGUUCUUCCACAAUGUUUAUUUUUUUUUAAGUGCAAGGACUGUCAGUGUGAACAGCCUUGCAUGAAACAAUGGGGGAGGGACCUUAUGUCUGCCCCAACUUAUGAAUCCAUAUAAGGUGGGAUCACAACUUCCCCCACCAUAAUCACUGUACUUAAAAUGGCAGCAAAAUCUACAUUUUUUAUUUUAUUUUUAAAUGUUAUGUUCUGCCCUUUGACCACCACCUGCAUUUCCAAGUGACAUUCAGUCCUGGGGCUUGGUUACACCUUGGAUUUUCAUUGUUGCAGUUUGUUUUAGGCCUUCCAACCACAGAUAAGCAAGCAAUCUUGCCAUCAUUUUGUCUCUCGCUCCCAUCCCCAAUCAAUAAACUAAGGGCAAAUCCAGAAGUCUUUAUACUUAGGCAAAACUCCCAUUAACAAUCCUAUUAAAGUCAAUGGCAAUUGGAUUUUGUCCUCUGUCUGUGAACUAAAAAUUAGAAUUCAAGGAGAGAGAACAAGAAUAGACUGUAUGAAAUGUGUAAUGUACGUAGAAACUUACCUUUGCAAACUGCCUCAUUUGCAGACUAUUGAUUAGAAAUAACAUUUCACUGGAGGACAAUAAAGAGAAUGUGUGGUUUAAUUGCAA